UACAGAGGGUGCGAGCGUUGUCCGGAAUCACUGGGCGUAAAGGGCGCGUAGGCGGCUUUUCAAGUCGGGCGUGAAAUCUCCGGGCUUAACCCGGAAGGGUCGUUCGAUACUGUUGAGCUAGAGUGUGGAAGAGGCAACUAGAAUUCCGUGUGUAGCGGUGAAAUGCGUAGAUAUACGGAGGAAUACCUGAGGCGAAGGCGGGUUGCUGGGCCAACACUGACGCUGAAGUGCGAAAGCCAGGGGAGCAAACGGG
rnacentral:rRNA from 1 species